CAGUGGCGUAUGUUAAUUCUGCUGCAGUUAAAAAGCUCGUAGUUGGCGUAAGUUGGUGUUUUGUUUGCGCGGAGGUCCGUGUGGGCGGUUUGAGUUGCGUUUCUUCGGAGAUGCCCGGCGCCCCGUGAGUACCCAUUUUUCCGCCGACCGCCAGGUCGGGUUUGUUUCUGUUUUUCGGAGCAGAAGCGGGCCCCCCACACUGUGAACAAAGUAGAGUGUUCCAAGCAGGCCGUAAGGGCCGGGAUAUUUCAGCAUGGAAUGGAGACUGGACUGAUGGUCGAGUCGCUGUGUGUAUGUAGCCGAGCAUGAGUAAUCGAUGAUAGGAACGGAGCGGGGGUGCUCGUACGCGACGUCUACCGGUGAAAUGGAUUGACACGUUGCAGACGAACUAGUGCGAAAGCAUUCACCAAGUACGUGUCCUUUA
rnacentral:rRNA from 1 species